rnacentral:rRNA from 1 species
UACGUAGGGUGCGAGCGUUAAUCGGAAUUACUGGGCGUAAAGCGUGCGUAGGCGGCCAACUAAGUCGGAUGUGAAAUCCCCAGGCUCAACUUGGGAACUGCAUCCGAUACUGGAUGGCUUGAAUCCGGGAGAGGGAUGCAGAAUUCCAGGUGUAGCGGUGAAAUGCGUAGAUAUCUGGAGGAAUACCGGUGGCGAAGGCGGCAUCCUGGACCGGCAUUGACGCUGAUGAGCGAAAGCUAGGGGAGCAAACGGGG